UACGUAGGGUGCAAGCGUUGUCCGGAAUUAUUGGGCGUAAAGAGCUUGUAGGCGGUUUGUCGCGUCUGCUGUGAAAUUUCGGGGCUCAACCCCGAACUUGCAGUGGGUACGGGCAGACUAGAGUGUGGUAGGGGAGACUGGAAUUCCUGGUGUAGCGGUGAAAUGCGCAGAUAUCAGGAGGAACACCGAUGGCGAAGGCAGGUC
rnacentral:rRNA from 1 species